rnacentral:tRNA from 1 species
CAAAGUGUAGCUUAUAAAAAGCACCUGGCUUACACCCAGAAGAUACCAUAUAAUAAUAGUCACUUUGA